CAACCCUCAAGCACUGCUUGGUGUUGGGCUCUGCCGGUGACGGCAGGCCCUAAAAUCAGUGGCGGCGCCGCUGGGCCCUGAACGUAGUAAUUUUCUCGUUACAGGUCUCUGCGUGCUCCCGCCAGUAACCCUUACUAAA
rnacentral:misc_RNA from 1 species